rnacentral:rRNA from 1 species
GGGGAAUAUUGGGCAAUGGGCGAAAGCCUGACCCAGCGACGCCGCGUGAGGGAAGAAGGUCUUCGGAUUGUAAACCUUUGUCAACAGGGACGAAACAAAUGACGGUACCUGUGAAGGAAGCCACGGCUAACUACGUGCCAGCAGCCGCGGUAAUACGUAGGUGGCGAGCGUUAUCCGGAAUUACUGGGUGUAAAGGGUGAGUAGGCGGGAAUACAAGUCAGAUGUGAAAUGCAAAGGCUUAACCUUUGAAUUGCAUUUGAAACUGUAUUUCUUGAGAGUCGGAGAGGUAAUCGGAAUUCCUAGUGUAGCGGUGAAAUGCGUAGAUAUUAGGAGGAACACCAGUGGCGAAGGCGGAUUACUGGACGACAACUGACGCUGAGACACGAAAGCGUGGGGAGCAAAC